rnacentral:rRNA from 1 species
GAUCAUGGCUCAGGAUGAACGCUGGCGGCGUGCCUAAUACAUGCAAGUCGAACGAGAGAGCUUGCUCUCUAGUGGCGAACGGGUGAGUAACACGUAGGUAACCUGCCUUACAGUUUGGGAUACCCUGGCGAAAGCUAGGCUAAUACCGAAUAAUUGGAUUGGAGGCAUCUCCGAUCUCUAAAAGGGGCCUUUAAAGCCUCGCUGAAUGAUGGACCUGCGGCGCAUUAGCUAGUUGGUGAGAUAACAGCCCACCAAGGCGAGGAUGCGUAGCCGACCUGAGAGGGUGAACGGCCACACUGGAACUGAGACACGGUCCAGACUCCUACGGGAGGCAGCAGUAGGGAGUUUUCGGCAAUGGGGGCAACCCUGACCGAGCAACGCCGCGUGAAUGAAUGAAGGUCUUCGGAUUGUAAAGUUCUGUUAUAAGGGAAAAAUGAUAGGGUGAGGAAAUGCUCUCUAUUUGAUGGUACCUUAUUAGAAAGCCACGGCUAACUACGUGCCAGCCGCCGC